GGUCACAUAGCGGAGUGGAUAUCGUAUUAGACUCCGAAUCUAAAGGUCUUGGGUUUGAAUCCCACUGUGAUUA
rnacentral:tRNA from 1 species